UCAAUUAGACAUUAUUGUUUGGGAUUAAA
rnacentral:piRNA from 2 species